CAGAUUACAUUAGGUUGCUGCAUCAGGGCUGGAGACACUUGAACGGAGACAAACACACAGGCACGCACGCAUGCAUGCACAUGCAAGGGAUGUGACAAAUGGACAAUUUUGCUAAACAUUUAAACAUCAUAACAUUCAGAAAAAAAACAUAAAAUUCCACAUCAAUUCACAAUUCAGAAUAAUGGUCCUAUUACGCAUGACCGCUAGGGCCGGGCAAUGAAGUUAUAUCUACCGCAGUCAUAUACCCUUGAAAGCGUCUCGGCUACGGAAUGUUUGUUGGUCUGUAAGGGUACACUAUAGCUUUUCAAACGCCGACACAAAACCUUCUCUGGAGAUAGUUUCGAAGCGCCACUGAAUGGGCAUUUUACUUGUCUGUAUAGGAAUGCCCCAUCUGAACCGGGAUCGACGUCCAUCACUAGCAGGUGGUCUACAGCAGGGAGCCUGCAUAGGAGUGGAGAGAAGAGGAGAAGAGAGGACAGAAGAGGAGAGAUGAGAUGAAAGGGGAGAGGACAUAGUUUGAAGAGGAGAGGAGAGGAGAGGUGAUGAAAGAGGAGACGGUGGUUUGAACAUGAUUUUGGACAAUGACCCAACACACCUCCAGGCUGUGUAAGGGCUAUUUGACCAAGAAGGAGAGUGAUGGAGUGCUGCAUCAGAUGACCUGGCCUCCACAAUCACCCUACCCCAACC
rnacentral:lncRNA from 1 species